rnacentral:rRNA from 1 species
GAUGAACGCUGGCGGCGUGCCUAAUACAUGCAAGUCGAGCGAACAGGCGAGGAGCUUGCUCCUCUGUCGAGAGCGGCGGACGGGUGAGUAACGCGUGGAGAAUCUGCCUAUGAGAGGGGGAUAACAUCGGGAAACGGGAGCUAAUACCGCAUAAUAUCUUGAAACAUAUGGUUCAAUAGUGAAAGACGGAUUUGCUGUAACUAAUAGAGGUAUCCGCGCCGCUUUGGUUGGUGGUGAAGGUAACGGUCUCCAAAGGCAACGAUGCGUAGCCGACCUGAGAGGGGGUUCGCCCACUCUGGACUGGGACCACGCUCCAGCCCCCUACGGGAGGCACCAGUGGGAAAUCUUCGGCAUUGGGGGAAAUCCUGCCGGACCACGCCCGCGUGGGUGAUGAGGGUCUCCGGUUCGUAAACCUCUUUUAUUGGGGAGAACCAAAUGUGGAAUGGACUGUGCACGUAGUGACGGUAACUACUCAGAAAGCCACGGCUAACUACGUG